rnacentral:rRNA from 1 species
CUUGCUAGACUGAUGGCGAGUGGCGAACGGGUGAGUAACGCGUAGGAAUAUACCUUAAAGAGGGGGACAACUUGGGGAAACUCAAGCUAAUACCGCAUAAGCUCUUAGGAGGAAAGCUGGGGACCUUAGGGCCUGGCGCUUUAAGAUUAGCCUGCGUCCGAUUAGCUAGUUGGUGGGGUAAGGGCCUACCAAGGCGACGAUCGGUAGCUGGUCUGAGAGGAUGACCAGCCACACUGGAACUGAGACACGGUCCAGACUCCUACGGGAGGCAGCAGUGGGGAAUAUUGGACAAUGGGGGGAACCCUGAUCCAGCAAUGCCGCGUGUGUGAAGAAGGCCUGAGGGUUGUAAAGCACUUUCGGUGGGGAGGAGGGCUUAUAGGUUAAGAGCUAAUGAGUUGGACGAUACCCACAGAAGAAGCACCGGCUAACUCCGUGCCAGCAGCCGCGGUAAU